rnacentral:misc_RNA from 1 species
GUGAAGAACGUAGCGAAAUGCGAUAAGUAGUGUGAAUUGCAGAAUUCAGUGAAUCAUCGAAUCUUUGAACGCACAUUGCGCCCCUUGGUAUUCCAUGGGGCAUGCCUGUUCGAGCGUCAUUUGUACCUUCAAGCUCUGCUUGGUGUUGGGUGUUUGUCUCGCCUCUGCGUGUAGACUCGCCUCAAAACAAUUGGCAGCCGGCGUAUUGAUUUCGGAGCGCAGUACAUCUCGCGCUUUGCACUCAUAACGACGACGUCCAAAAGUACAUUUUUACACUCUUGACCUCGGAUCAGGUAGGGAUACCCGCUGAACUUAAGCAUAUCAAUAAGCGGAGGA